UGGAUCACCUCCUAACAGGGAGACAACAAAAUGUUUAAUAUUAUUAUUUUGUCACCUUAGGUCGAUCGGUAUCUCACGUUUUUAAUUUAUUAAGAAUUUCAUUUCCUAAGUUUUUCUAGGUCACACCCAUUAUUUUUCCUGGGCCAUUAGCUCAGGUGGUUAGAGCGCACCCCUGAUAAGGGUGAGGUCCCUGGUUCAAGUCCAGGAUGGCCCAUAUCUCUAUGUUGGGGGUAUAGCUCAGUUGGUAGAGCGCCUGCUUUGCAAGCAGGAUGUCAGCGGUUCGAGUCCGCUUACCUCCACUGAUCACCACCUCUUCCAUAACCGGUAGAAAGGAAAUUUUUUGAGUUGUGAUCAAAUUCUGAAAGAAUCUAGCUUCCUAAUGAAAUCAUUAAGAUGCUGGACUCAUUGAAUUAAUUUCAUUGUUUUCAGAGAACCUUGACAACUGCAUAGAUUAUUUUUAAAGACAAUAAGCAUCUUUAAUGAUGCAGAUUUAUUAUUUGUGCAAAUGCAUUAAUAACAAUUCUAUUAAGCUGAUGCUUCAAUAUUUGAAGUUAUUGGUCAAGCUACAAAGGGCUCACGGAGGAUACCUAGGCACACAGAGGCGAUGAAGG
rnacentral:tRNA from 1 species